GAUGAAGAAUGCAGCGAAAUGCGAAAAGUGAUGUGAAUUGCAGAAUUCAGUGAACCAUCGAAUCUUUGAACGCACAUUGCGCCCGCUGGAACUCCGGCGGGCACGCCUGUCCGAGCGUCAUUUCAACCCUCAGGCCCCCCUUCGCGGGCGGGCCUGGUGUUGGGGCCCGGCCGCUACCCUGCGGCCGUCCCCUAAAUUCAGUGGCGGCCUCGCCGUGAUCCCUUGCGUAGUAAUGCACCUCGCACCGGAGAGCGCCGUGGCCACGCCGUAAAACCCCCAAUUUUCAAUGGUUGACCUCGGAUCAGGUGGGAAUACCCGCUGAACUUAAGCAUAUCAAUAAGCGGAGGA
rnacentral:misc_RNA from 1 species